GGCAUUCUUUUUGGCUUUCUCUUCACAACCGAUGUUUUCUGUAAGAACAGAGACAAGUCAAUGAACAGAUUCAGGAAAACCACACUUGCAUCAGGCAAUUAAAAUCUAUCCUUUCUUUUUUUUCUGGAGACAGAGUCUUGCUCUGUCACCCAGGAUGGAGUGCAGCGGCGUGAUCUCAGCUCAUUGCAACCUCCACCUCCUGGGUGCAAGCGAUUCUCCUGCCUCAGCUUCCCAAGUAGCUGGGAUUACAGGCGUGCACCACUACAUCCAGAGACUGGGACUACAGGCAUGGAUUUUCAGGUUUAUAACAUGGCAGAGUGAAUUCUGGCAACACACUGAGUGAUGCUUGUCAAUGGCCACUAUCAGGAAUUUAAAACAAGAGGGAGGGCCUAGCUCUGUCGCUCGGGCUGGAAUGCAGUGGUGUGAUCAUAUAGCUCACUACAGCCUCGAAUUCCUGGACUCAAGCAAUCCUCUUGCCUCAGCCUCCCAUGUACCUGGGACUACAGGUACAUGCCACCACACCCACCUAACUAAAAAAAAAUUUUUUUUGUCGAGAUGUGGUGUCACUCUACAAAACGGGUUGCCCAGACUGGUCUUAAACUUCUGGCCUCAAGAGAUCUUCCUUACUUGGCCUCCCCAAAAGCUGAGAUUACAGUCAUGAGAUACCAUGCCCAGACAGGCUUUUUCUUUUUUUUAUUUUUGAGACGGAGUCUCGCUCUGUUGCCCAGGCUGGAGUGCAGUGGUGUGAUCUCGGCUCACUGCAACCUCUGCCUCCCAGGUUCAAGUGAUUCUCCUGCCUCAGCCUCCCGAGUAGCUGGGAUUACAGGCACCCACCACCACGCUCGGCUAAUUUUUAUAUUUUUAGUAGAGACAGGGCUUCACCAUGUUGGCCAGACUGGUCUCGAACUCCUGACCUUGUGAUCCACCCACCUCGGCCUCCCAAAGUGUUGGGAUUACAGGCGUGAGCCACCGCGUCCGGCCCAGGCUUUUUCAAUCUUACAUUUUUUCUUUCUGUCUCAGUCAGUAUUAUUUAUGAGCAAUGCUUUGCCUUGCUGGUGGUACUCAGGAAUAAAGACUGAUGAAAACAAAAUGCCGUGUAAGACAAAGCAGCUCAUGCUUCCAUAUUUACCAGCUAGAAUCUGGACCUGUGGUAUAAUGAAGGAUUUUAAAUCUGCUUCUGGGGUAAAAGUCAAUCUGCAAGAUGUACUGAAAUUUCUGGGAUACUCUGAUGGUUCAUGUAGAUAAUGAUACGGAAUUAUCUUUGGAUUAUCUUUUGAUUAGCAUUAAAUAUUAACUGUUAAAUUGAAUAUUAAACUUAAUUUCAAGAAAUGUAUGGCACACCUGCAGUGUAUGUUUCUGUAGAUAGCCCCAGAGGCCCCAGGGUGUUGCAUGGUAUGGUAAUAUGAUUGGACAACUCUGUACUUCACAAGUUGAUAGAACUUUCAGGCUUAUUCCAUGUACUUUCAAUAAUAUCUUUUUAACUUUAUCCCACUGUAAUCUGUAAAGCAACAUUGCCAACCCUCUUCAAGAACAAGCAGUCUGUUUACAAGCCACCUGAAAGGUCAGUUAGUCUGGAAGAACUGAGACAUGGUGCUUUUCCAUUCUCACAGGGCAUGCAUUCCAUAUCACUUUCAAUCAAGUCAACAAAUAAAUUAAGUGCUUAUUAAGUGUAUAUAAACAAACCCUACAUUCUAACUUUCCUGGGUAACAAAAAUAAAGAGACCCUCUUCUCAAAAAGCAAUACAUUUAUAACCUAUUUCUUAGACCAAGAUAUUUUAGACUGUCCUUUAAAACACCCAAUUUUGUCUACUUAUUCAGAGGAAGUAAAAAAAUUCCACUCUAGCAAAAUAGGGAUUUCCAAAUGGAAAAAUAAUUGAAAUUUUUUUAAGUGGACUAUUCUGGUGAGUUUCUGUAUUUACAUAAAAAAUUUUAGAAUAAUGACCUAAAAUGCUAAUAUCAACAAUAUAAAUUUAAAUAAAUGCCAGGGUUGACAGGAAUUCUUACUUGCUCCUUUAAAAUUUUUCAAAGUGGGUCGGGUGCUGUGGCUCACGCCUGUAAUCCCAGCACUUUGGGAGGCCGAGGCGGGUGGAUCACAAGGUCAGGAGUUCGAGACCAGCCUGACCAACAUGGUGAAACCUCGUCUCUACUAAAAAUACAAAAAAUUAGCCGGGCACAGUGGUGCGUGCCUGUAAUCCCAGCUACUCAGGAGGCUGAGGCAGGAGAAUCGCUUGAACCUAAGAGGCCGAGACUACUGUGAGCAGAGAUCAUGCCACUGCACUCCAGCCUGGGUGACAGAGUGAGACUCUGUCUCAAAAAAAAAAAAAUUUUUUUUGAAGUAAUCUUGCAUAUUUGGCUUUUCAACACACACGGUUAGAAGUAAAAUAGUAUUCAGAAAGGAGUAAAAUAGCAAAUUGCCAAAUAGAUUUUCCUGGCAUUCAGAAAAAUUCAGGUUUAGGCCCCAGUCCCCUACAGGAGCCUGGCCUCAUAACAUUUUCAGCCCAAGGUCCCACUAAUGAAGAAAGUGUUCCCUAACCAUGAAGUGUUAGUCAGGAAGCAUAAGGCUGGGUGACACCUGAACUAUGUACCAUUUCUGCCAACACACAACCCAGCAGCUACUGAAUAUGGACCAAGGGUUCUACCUUCUUCCUCCUCGUCGUCAUCGCUGGACUCACUGACAUGCACGCUGACAGCAGUGUUUGGAGAGUCUGUCCAUUCAAAAUACACCCCAAACCCAAUGUCAUAAUUGUCUGUGGCAAAUUCCCAAAAGAGAUAUGAUCCUUCUUCAUGGGUGGGUACUCGAACAGUGACCACUUCUCCUCGGCCCACUGUAAUCACGGAAUCUGCAUCCUGCUGAAUCUUCUCUUUGAAGUCUUUGAUCUGAGGUCGUGUCCACAUGGAUGGAGCUGCUAUUACUGGAAGAGAUUCUAAAGGCAAUAGGUAUUAAAAAGCUAAAGAAAAAGAGCCUUCACCCUGCAGGUAGCCACAUUUUCAUAGCACUACCUGAUCAGUUGUACUCAGGCACCAAGUACAAUAUGGUCUAGCUUAGAUCAAGGACUUGGAGGAAUAAAAAAGCCUCCCCAUGGGAGUCUCUCCAGAUUACUAUGUUUAACAAUGUUGCAGGCACUCAGAGGUCAUCGUACUUCUUCAAGUAACAAUGGCAGCCCACAAUUUUAGAAACGAAUUUUUUUCAACACUCCCUCUAUGGGGAUUCAAGAAUGACCUUGGGAAGGCCCCAGCUGGAGUGAGGGAAAUAUUCUAGCAAGGAAGAGAGAUUCUGGCUUUAGGAAUAAAUUACUCUUGUGGAUGUGAACAAAGAAAGCUGGACUUUGACUUCAGCCUGUCUGUUGAAAAAUUCUUCACCUCCAACUAUCCCAAAGUUCUAGGGGCUAUUCUAAAGGAGCUCAAAGAAACAAAAACUCGGACAGGAUUAGAACCACUAGGGACUGAGAAAAAGGGGUAAAGUCUUGUUACUGAGCAGUACCUAUGUGCACUUGACUAUGCAAUAAGUUUUUCAAAGUUAGUCACAGAGCCUUUGAAAUAUUUUCUCUCAUUUGAAGAUGCUAGUAUAAUCCCUUGAUAAGAAAAAAAAAGGGAAGGGGGCAGUAAACCAAGGGAUUUCAAAGCCUUUUCUGAAGCAAUUAUUACUUGUUCUAAACAGACAAGGAAGAUCUCUGAAACCAAAUUUCUUAUGAACCAUACCACCAUCCCUGACCACUGUCACUGAAAUGCUCUCCUCUUCCUCCUUACUUAGUUAACUCCUCUUGCUUCAGAUAUCUCAGGUCAAUUGUCCCUUCCUCUGGGAAGCCUCUGGUGGCCUCUCUGACUAGGUCACACUUCCCUGUUUUACAUUCUCUCAAAGAUAAUGUACCUCUCUCUCCAUCACCGUACUUAUCACAGCUACAAUCUACAUUUUCUGUGUGUUAUUUUGCCUCACCACUGUACUCCUAGCACUCAGGAAACCUUCAACUAAUUGCUGAAUGAACAAAUGAGCUGCCCAUGGAAAGCUAGUAGAGCUUUGAAAAUGCAGUUAUUUUCUAGGCAACAUGAUACAUUAGUCUCAAAAAUAUAUCUAUUUCUAUGGUAGCCAGCCUCCAAGAUGGUCCCCAGAGAUUCUCACCUCUGGGUCUUCAUGCACUUGUGAGGUCACCACCCACAAUAUAUAAGGAUUGGUAUGUGUGACCAACAGAAUAUGGUGGGAGUUCCAAAGUCAAGGCAUAAAAGACACUGCCACUUCUGCUAGGGGAAGCCAGUAACUGUUUUGAGGACCCUCAAGAAGCCCUAUGGAGAGGCUUCAUGGGGCCAGGAAUUGAGCUUCCAGCCAAAAGCCAGCCAUGUGAGGGAACCAUUUUGGAAGCAGAUCUUCUAGUCCUGGCAUCAACAUCUUGACUGCAAUCUCAUGAGGGAGCCUAAGUCAGAGCCAUUCAGCUAAACUGCUCCUGAAACCCUGACCCACUGAAGCUGUACAAGAUAGUAAUAAAUGUUUAUUGUUAUUUCAAGCUACUAAAUUUAGGUGUAAUUAAUUUUUGUUUGUUUUUUUUUUGAGAGACAGUCUUGCUUUGUCACCCAGGCAGGCGGAAUCAUAGUUCACUGCAGCCUCAAACUCUUGGGCUCAAGUGAUCUUCCUGCCUCAGCCUCCCAGAGUGCUGGGAUUACAGGUAUGAGCCACUGCGCCCAGCCUGUAAUUUGUUAUGCAGCAAUAGAUAAUUUAUAUAUAUAUAUAUGACAAAACAUAACUUUUGUCUUAAAAGUGUCCAAAGACAUCUGAUUUGCUCUUCUACACUGGUCUAUGAGUCACCAGAGCAUUAGAUUCAGACUAAAAAGAGUAAAAAAAUGUUCAACUCUCACAAAUAUGUAAUUGUUCUCAAAAGCUAAUUAUAACCUGACUUCAUGACUUUUGCCUUUCACAGAUUUGGAAUUAUGACAUCUGGACAAACACAUAUGCAAAACCUACCUUUUGGUCCAUUCUCCAGGGCUUCUUCUGCAGCUUCUGGUUCCAGUUCUUUUUCGGAGCUGUCAGUGUGUGUUUUGGCCUGUCCAUUAACUGACAUCAUAUUACUUGGUACAGUUGCAUUCACUUUUGAUGAUGUAGGCAAGGAAGACCCAGCCACUACUACUUCCUGUUGUUUCUGUAAUGCUGCCUACAAACCAAGAGAAAGUGAAGACACACUGACCAGGAAGGCUAGCAAAUAAGACAUCUGCCCUGGAGUACAUCUGAUACCAUGCUUUUGCCCUACCAAAGUGCUAUGCUCAAGAAAUUACUAAUAAAUUUUUAUCAGUUUUUAUCCUGUCUAUAAUGAAUAUUAUUAGUACAAUAUCAAACUGACAGCUAAAAAUAAUAAAAAAUCAAUAAAAAUUAAUGUGGACAAAAACCUGCAACUAAGGCUCACAUUUCUGUGAUCUGAGAAUCACCAUAAAAACUAACCAGGAAAAAUGAAAGUAAGGCCAGCCAAAGUGGCUCACACCUGUAAUCCCAGCACUUUGAGAGGCGGAGGUGGGUGGAUCAUUUGAGGUCAGGAGCUCAAGACCAGCCUGACCAACAUGGUGAAACCCCGUCUCUACUAAAAAUACAAAAUUAGCUGGGCAUGGCAGCACACGCCUGUAAUCCCAGCUACUUGGGAGGCUGAGGCAGGAGAAUCGCUUGAACUCGGGAGGCGGAGGUUGCAGUGACCUGAGAUCGUGCCAUUGCAUUCCAGCCUGAGCAACAAAAGCGAAACUCCAUCUCAAAAAAAAAAAAAAAAAGUAGAAAUAAUCAACCCAAAAUAAAACUAUUAAAGGCAAAAAUUGAACACAGUAAUGUGCUCUUGAAAUUGAUGGAAGAAAAAAAUCUUGAUAAACUUUAAAUACACAAAAUUUGAAUUAGAAAAAUUAAACUUGGUGGGAAUAGUCACAGAAGAAAAUUCACAAAGGCAGAAGCUAUAAUUGGCAAAAUCUGGUAUGGGCCCCCAAAGCAAUAAAAAAAUCAAAUAUGGACAAUUUAUUCUAACAUAAUUGACCCCAAAAAGUCAAUAAAUUAAAACUUCAGGGAAAAAUUAUGAUCACAAUGAAAUUGAAAAUUGUUAAUCGUGUUGUAAAAUGCUGACCUAAGAAUCAAACAGACUUACAGGAUGCAAUUUGAGGUUAAAAAUAUUUUCUCAAUGAAAAUUUGUCACUGUUUAUAUAGUUAUGAUUGAAAUGUGUAUUCAUAAAUAUAAAAUCAAAAUGUCCUCUGAGUCAAAAUGGCAGUAAAAACAUCUUAAAUCCAAAGGACUAUUUUGGGACAUUCCUCUUCUAAAUCAAUAUGGACAGAUACUACUUCAAAUAUCUGAGUAUUACUUAGGUAACUUUGGUGGGGAACUAUAAAUUGAAUUACAACAUACAUGUAGAAAGUGUACAAAUGAUAAAUUACACAGCUUGAUCAAUUUUCAUAAAUCAAACACAUCCAUGUAACUAAUACUCAGAUCAAGACAGUAUCUGCAUCCAGAAUAUUCCCUGGUACCCCUUUCUGGGCACCUGCCCUGAAGGGUAACAACUAUUUGACUUAUAACACUAUAGAUUUGCUUUGCCUAUUUUAAAACUUUAAAGAAAUGGGUUGUAUAGUAUACAUUCUUUUUUAUGUCUGGCUACCUUCACUCAACAUUACUUUUAUAAGCUACAUCUAUAGAGUCACAAGUAAUUGUAUUUUGUUGUUUGCAUUACUUUUAAGUUAUUCCAUCAUAAAAAGAUAAAAUCUAUCCAUUCUACUGUUGAUGAGCAUUUGGGCAUGUAAGCAAUGUUUUAAACUAAAACACUGUCACAAAUAAGCAAGUACGUAUAUGUUCACUGCAGGAAAAAAAAUACACACACGCACACAUACACACACACACGGAAAAAGCCUUUAUGAUCCCAUGGGGUAGGGAUAAUGAUAUAUUUUGGCAUAUCUCUACACACAUUUCAUUGAAUGUAUCAUUUACAAGCCAAUUACUUAAAUGAAUAGCAAUGCUUCUCUUUGCUGCUAAUAUAGGUUAAUAACACAAUUAAGAUUUUAAGAUAUCUUCUUCCAAGGUCUGGAUUUUCAGUAAUUUCCACAUCAAUUUUCUAGAAGGGAUACUAGCUUCCAGAGAAAGUACCUAAAAUCAAAACAAGUCAGCACACUCAGAACAUUCACUGCAUGACAGGAAAGCAAAAGAGCAUUUUUGAUGAUCAAUAGGCCCAGCUCAAAUGGUCCCUCAUCUCCACUAAUCCUUUCUUGAAAGGCUCUAGCAGAAAAACAACUUUCUCUGGGAACCCCCGACCAUGAAUCUAUUGUACUACAUGUAAUAGAUUGUAAUGAUAUAUUUCCAUACUCUCUUCCUGUUAUUAGGAAGUUUAAAAAAGCACAGAAAGGUAUAAAAGCAACGUAUCAAACACCCACAAAUGUAUCUACACCCCAAAAUUAACAAAUGUGUUCAUUUUGCUAUUUAUAUAAAAAUUAAUAUUUUAUAGGAGUAAAGUUCCCUUUGUUCCUUCCCCAGUCUCUUUCCUUUUCUCUUCUCAGAAGCAACCAAUAAAUUUGAUAAACUGAGUUUGAUCACUCUAAUCUCAAUUAUGGAUUUUUUUUUUUUUUGAGACGGAGUUUCUCUUUUGUUGCCCAGGCUGGAGUGCAAUGGCACAAUCUUGGCUCACCGAAACCUCCCCCUCCUGGGUUCAAGUGAUUCUCCUGCUUCAGCCUCACGAGUAGCUGAGAUUACAGAUGUGUACCAACAUGCCAGGCUAAUUUUGUAUUUUUAAUAGAGAUGGGGUUUCUCCAUAUUGGUCAGGCUGUUCUCGAACUCCCAACCUCAAGUGAUCCACCCACCUCAGCCUCCCAAAGUGCUGGGAUUACAGGCAUGUGCCACCACACCUGGCCUAUGGCUUUUUUUUUCCUCGAGACAGGGUCUCACUCUGUCACCCAGGCUGGAAUGUAGUGGCGCCAUCACAGCUCACUAUAGCCUCAAACUCCUGAGCUCGAGUGAUCCUCUCGCCUCAGCCUCCCAAGUAACUGGGACUACAGGCGUGCACCACCAUGCCCAGCUAAUUUUUUUUUUCUUUUUUAAGAGAUGGGGUCUCCCUAUGUUGCCCAGGCUGGUCUCAAAUUCCUGGCCUCAAGCAACCAUUAUGGCCUUGGCUUCCCCAGGUGCUGGGAUUAAAGGCAUGAGCCACUAUGCCCAGCCUCCAUUAUGGCUUUCUAGUUUUGUUUCAAAGAUUUGCGGUUUUGUCCUAUUUGACUUUCUUCUCAUUAAAUGAUAGCAACCUAUAAACAGGACAGAGUGUAUGUGCUAUUAAAAAUCAUCUCACUGCCUAUCAAAGAAGCAGGAAAAUGGAAGUGAAACUAAAGUAGAAACAGGCUUCAGAGGAGAGAGAAUAAAUCUCUCAAAAAUACCACUUAUUAUCUUGAAUAAACUCUGGUUUGGCAUCUUUUCCUCCUCUUCAGGAUUACAAAAAACUUGCAGUGCUUUUUAACUUCUAACUGAUGCCAAAGACUCAGGAGAAAAGGUUGUUUAGUAAGAAUACACAUUUUCAAGGAAUUUAAAGAGUUUGGCAAAAACAACAAAGAUUAUUUCAUGCAGUAAGAAAUGCUGAGCAACUAUAAUGUAACACUUUUCUUCACUCAGAUUUUUUGACAGGUGGUAACUGCUUUAUAAGUGAAAAUUAAGUAAGUUAAACUAAGCUACGUUAAGUUUAAGGAGGUAUUUUAUGCCUGCACAAGAUGUAAAAAAUGAAUGUAAAAUUAGUGUCUUCUACAAGUACAAAAAUCGUUCACAGGGUAACUCUUUUCUCAUUUGACUCCUCUGAUAGUCCUGUGAGGUUAACAGGACAGGUGCUUUGAUUUUAUAUCCUAUUGUUACGGACUGAAAGAAAGAGCAGAACAAUCAGAGCAGUAAUAACUUGUCUGAGAUCAAACAAGGUAAUGUCAAAGCCCAAAGAGAAUCCAAGUGUUAUGAGACUCCCAGUCCCAUGUUCUUUCACCUAAACCAACCUCUCCUAUGUGGAAGCAAAAUACUUGGGGGCAGGCAGUUGGAGGAGGAAUAGCAAUGUGCUGUUAUGAGCACUGCCUAACUAUGGUGCCUAACACAAAGUCAAAUGGACCCAAUCUAGCUCUGCAGAACCAGCCCAUGGUCUUAGGGCAGGGGAGUCCUCCCACUGGAGGCUGUCCAAGCCUCUGACAAUGCACUGCCUGAAGGACAUCUCUGAACUAUGGCUAGUUACUCAGGUCCUCAUGUUCCAGGACCACUAUUAGGGUCUAUGCCAGACUCACAGUAAAGACACUCAACCCAUACAACUCCCAAAUACCCUUAUGACAAUAUAACAUCAUCGGUUGCUUCGAUAACACAUAUUUUCUCUCACAAUUGCCUGUGCAAUUCUCAAGUCUGCCUAAAAGAUCACCCAAAAGUUACUUUACACCUUAGAGGCUAACUAAUGCAAAAUUCAUUUGCGACUGUUAAAAAAGAACUUGGGUUCCAAUGAAACUAAAAACUCUCUCUAAGGCUGAAUUCUAGGGUUGUCUAUCGUACCUGUUGCUGUGCAAGCUGGACUUGAUACAACUGCUGCAUGUACUGCUGAUAGUGUUGCUCCUGCAACUGGCGGAUGAGAAUUUGCUGCUGUUCGUAGUUCCCUGGAUACUGUUGGGCUGCAUACUGCUGGAACUGCACGGCAGUCUGGGAGUUUAAAGCUGCCAUUAUCUGCUGCCUAAAAACAUUAAAAAUAUAUAUACUAGUCUGGCUACAGGAGAUUGUUCAUGACAAAAUAAAAUGUCCUUAUUACUUACUUUUACAGUCUGUAACUCUUAAAAACAACUAAGCUAGUAAUGUACACCAAUUAGUAUGUGUUCUGGGUCCAGAAGAAAGAUUUAAGAAAAUAAGCCUGGCCUCUAAUUUUUUACUUAGGAUUUUCCAGGAAAAUUCGGGAUGGAAGAUAAGCAUAUGAUCAUCAUCAUCAUGACCACCAUCAUAAUUAUUAACAUUUAUUGUGCCCUUACUAUGUGCCAUGCAGUGUUGAAAGUACUCACACAUACUAACCCAUUUAGUCCUCACAACAACCCUCUGACAGAGGGUUCAGUAACUUGCCCAAGACUAUACUGCUAGCAGAUGCUACAGCCUGAUGCAAAUCCAGGCAGUUUGGCUCUAGAGCUACACUAAUUUACCACGAUGCUUUAAGAUGAUGGAUUGUCAUCUCUGACAUAGAUGAGGUAUUUAACUGUUGGCUAUGGCUUCUGUACCUAAAUACAUAAAAAACAGUAAGAGGCAGAAGAAUAGCUGGAAGAUGUUACAGGUGGCCCUGGUAAGUAUAAAUAAAGCCAGUGAAAAAUUAAGGGUCCACAGCAUUUAAUUUAAAGCCUGUCUUAAUAGAGGAAAUACUGAAAAUAUCUUGGCAUGCUUAGUUUAGAGAUACUCAUAUUCUUUUAUAGAUAAACCACAUGCUUCUUCUUUUUUUUUUUUUUGAGACGGAGUUUCACUCUGUCACCCAUGCUGGAGUGCAGUGGCGUGAUCUCAGCUCACUGCAACCUCCACUUCCUAGGUUCAAGCGAUUCUCCUGCCUCAGCCUCCCAAGUAGCUGGGAUUACAGGCACCUGCUACCACGCCUGGCUAAUCUUUAUAUUUUUAGUAAAGACGGUUUCACCAUGUUGGCCAGGCUCGUUUCAAACCCCUGACCUCAAUCAAGUGAUCCGCCCGCCUCGGCCUCCCAAAGUGCUGGGAUUACAGGCAUGAGCCACCACAGCCAGCAACCACAUGCUUCUUAACUUACUUAUGUGACCAACUUAACAGAGACCUCAAAGCCAUCUAUUAAUAGAUAACAAAGCAAAGCCUCACAAACUCCUACAUACAGCACAACAUUCGAUCCACCUAGGACAACCUCCCCCAAAAAAGAGCUGCAUUCAUAGUCUUUCUCCAAAGUUGAAUGAGGGCCUGGAUUAGUUUGAGGCUAGCACUAAACCUUUUUCUGAGGAACUACCCAGAAAUAAUGAGAAGAAAUCAAUGGACUCUCAUGUUCUCUGGUUUAACCUACAAGCCAUGCCACCCCUACAAACUCAGACUUACUUCCCAGUGUUUUAUGGGUGUUAAUCACUGCCUCCUUGUACCCACAGCUCCCUCUUGAAGAACCUGUCAGUCUCUGAGUCUCAAAGCCCUUACUGAGUAAGCAAUAGUUGAAGCCUCCAAAUCUUGUACUAAGGACUAUAAAUGGAUAUCUGACAUAGACUGGACCAACAAGAUUCUCUGUCCUGGGAAACUGCAACUGGGUCUCACAGAUUCCAGCCAGUCUCUGUCAGAUGCAUGGAAACAUAGACCAAAUAAAUCCUCGGACAGCCUUGCAUAUGCCAAAGCAGACAGUUGACAAUUUGCAGAGAGCAAGGAUGAAGCAGAGACAUAAGCUGAGAGAAGCAGAGACAAGAAACAGAGAGCGCAACCAAGCAACCUCAGCUCCUGCUUCCAAUCUCUGGGUUCUGCAAGUGAACCCCCAAACCUUCUAAUACAUUCCUUUUUUUUUUUGAGACGGAGUUUCACUCAUUACCCAGGCUGGAGUGCAAUGGCGCGAUCUCGGCUCACUGCAACCUCCACCUCCUGGGUUCAAGAGAUUCUCCUGCCUCAGCCUCCUGAGUAGGUGGGAUUACAGGCAUAUGCCACUGCGCCCAGCUAAUUUUUUGUAUUUUUAAUAGAAACAGGGUUUCACUGUGUUAGCCAGGAUAGUCUCCAUCUCCCAACCUCAGGUGAUCUCCCAACCUCAGGUGAUCUGCCCGCCUCCGCCUCCCAAAGUGCUGGGAUUACAGGCGUGAACCACCACACCUGGCCCGCUCAUUUCUUAUUUUUAUUCUAUUUUUUUUCCAUUUCUCAUUUUAAAACAUAAGCCACAUAAUAAACUUACUUUUGCUGCUCCAACCGAAGCCUUUCUUCUUCUAUCCGUCUCCUUUCCUCUUCCUCCCGUCGAAGCCUUUCCUCUUCUUCUCUCCUACGUUUCUCUUCCUCCUUUUGCAGACGUUCUCUUUCUUCCUCUUCACGCCGCCUUCGCUCCUCUUCCUCCUUCCUACAAGGCAAAGAUAGAGAAUGAACCCUAUACGUUGAAUCCUGUUUAAAAAUAAAACUUUAGCUCCCAGGGAAAACUGACAUGACCUUUUUAGAGAACAAUGUGGAUAUAUACAUCAAAAUUUAAAAUACAUACACUUUACUAGCAGAAACUUAUAGGGAAUCAAUCGCACAAUAUACAAAUCACAUCAAGAAUAAUUAUUGUUGCACAGCAACAGAAAUGUGUCCAUCAUAAGAAACUACUUAAGUCAUUAUGAUAUUCCUAUACCCUGAAGGAUCCCCUCUAAUAUAUGCUCACAGCACUAAAAGCUUUUCCUUCAUAAUACCUGCUGUCAUUAUAAUUAAAUUUGUGUGAUACAUUCAGCAAUAGAUCUGCAUUACCCAUUAAACUAGAUGCUCCAUAGGGGAAGAGACUGCCUAUCUCACACCACGACAUCCUCAGGGCUUAGCACAGUGCUGGAAAGAACAAGCACUCGACAAACGUGUACAGAAGUAAAAAAUCCACCCUGAAAUAUCGCAGAGCCAAAGGAUAGAAAUACAUUGCCUAAUAUGUAAAGACAUGUAAUACACUUGCUUAAUGAAAAAAAAAAAGGUGAAUACAAAGGAAAAGAUCUGGAAGGACAUACCCUAAAUUUAUCAGUUAUUAUCUAUGCAGAGGAGAGUGGAAUUAAAAGAAAUGUGGGAAAAAAGAUUUUUUUCAGUUUGUGUUUCAUAUACUGCCAUAAAUGAAAAUUUUAUAUUGCAUAUAUUUGUGUAUUAUUUCUGAAAUUAAAAUUUUUUGUAAAGCUUUUAAUUUAAAAAAGAACGGUUAACCUCUCAGGGCAGCCCUUGCCCAGCUUUCACCCACCCCACAAGACCCUUCCAAAAAGAACAGAUCCUAUUGUGCUAGGAAUGGACAUCUUCCGGGUCUGAGAGUGGUAUGGUGUUCAGGGAGCCUGCAGACAGGAUGAAAGGGAAGAUUUCUAAGGAGUAUCAGAUAAGACACUAUUUCAUAAACCUACCACGAGAAUUGUCUGGGCUACCUCACCUUUCUCCCCUCUAACUCCUAUAAGUGAUUAACAACUACCUGAGCCACAGCCAAGUCUCAAAAUAUUGUAAUAACAUGACCUAUUUUUUUUUUUUUUUUGAGACAGGGUCUCACUCUGUCACCCAGACUGGAGUGCAGUGGCACAUUCUUGGCUCACUGCAACCUCCGCCUCCCAGGCUCAAAUGAUCCUCCCACCUUAGCCUCCUGAGUAGCUGGAAUUACAGGGACCUGUAACCACAUCCGGCUAAUUUUUGUAUUUUUUUUUUGUAGAGAUGGGGUUUUGCCACGUUGCCCAGGCUGGUCCUGAACUCUUGGACUCAAGUGAUCUGCCCGCCUCGUUCUCCCCAAGUGCUGAGAUUACAGAUGUGAGCCACCACAGGCGUGAGCCACUGCACCCGGCCAUGACCUACUUUUAAUGUGUCACAGCUGGUACAGAGCAAGAAGGUUCACAAGCCAGAGCUUAAGCUUCAGGAUAGAUGAAGUCUACUCUUAAACACUUUAAAAUAAUUCUAUGUGGACUUUAUCCCAUGACAAAAGUAUAUUUUUAAAACGAAAACGCAGCUCUAUAUGUUGAGUAGUAACUUUUGACAAUGCUUAAGAGAAAUAUGCAUAUAUAUCAUUAAAAUAAGAACUUAAAAAGCAAUAUAUAGAUACUUCUACAGACACCCUAGCGAUACCUGAUUGAUCCAACAUCACUACACAAUGGACUGUAGGACAUAAAUCAAUUUUCCAGUUAAAGAAAUCUCAUUCUUUUCUCAUAAGAAUCAAAACCUUUCCUUUAGAUUAAAAAAAAAAAUUUCUUUGGAUAAAUAUCUUCUGAAAAUGUAAUCAAGCAAUUUCCUAUUAUCUUAAAUAGGAAUAAAUCAUAUCUAAUGUUCCAUCUCUUGAUAACUCAGGGGUUACAGCUGUAAACAUAAAAAUUGUACAUCAUACUAUUGUAAUGGAGAAGUUUACCUUCAUAUUAAAUGACCCCUGACUGCCAUGCUUUUAUAAUUCUCGUGUCUAUUUUUCAUGCUUUCUAUUAUGUCCCUAAUUAUCAAGCUAUUUUCUCUUCUAAUCUGUUAUUUCUAAUCCAGGUUAAGGUAGGAAACCAGAGAAUCAAUUGUUUUUAAAGAAUAACAUCGGCUGGGCAAGGUGGCUCAUGCCUGUAAUCCCAGCACUUUGGGAGGACCAGGCGGGUGGAUCACCUGAGGUCAGGAGUUUGAGACCAGCCUGGCCAACAUAGUAAAACCUCAUCUCUACUAAAAACACAAAAAUUAGCUGGGUUGGUGGCAGGCACCUGUAAUCCCUCUCCCAGCUACUCGGGAGGCUGAGGCAGGAGAACUGCUUGAACCCAGGAGGCAGAGGAUUGUGUCACUGCACUCCGGCCUGAGCAAUAGCAACAGAGCAAGACUCCAUCUUAAAAAAAAAAAAAAAAAAAAAAAAAAAGUAUAACAUAACCUGAAGAAAAAUUGGUUUUGUAGCAUCAUUUUCAUCACCUAAAAUUUUAGAUAGUCAAAAUUGAUGAAAAUAUAGCCACUAGAAAAAUAAGGUGUAACUAUAAUUCUAAUUCACAACUACAACAGAGAAUCCCAUAAGCAUAAACAGCACAUUCAGUAGCUCCUCCUCCAAAACUUGAAAAUAAUCAAUAAGCCAGCUGGAAGCCAAAGCCAACAUGAAUGUCUAUAUAAGGUAGCAUAGUUGCAAACCAUGAAAUGGAGCAUGAGGAUUCUAGAAGCUCGAGGGAGACUGCAACAAAGGGUAUGUCAGACCAGAGGAUAGGGAGGAGGGAGUGGUUGAGUUUAUGGUGGGGCUUAUUCAGAAACUUAGUGUAAUAAAACAAAAGGAAGGCUGCCAUGAUGGAUGGGAGGUUCCUUUUAAAGGCACGGCCAGUAGGAAGCAGUCCUCCCUCCCCCCAAAACUUAUAAUACAAGUACCUGUUCACAUCAGGAAGUUUGAACAAUUGCCACAAGAAAUGGGGAUCCAAGGAAAGCAAGACACCUGAUCUAGAACUAGAACAGACACUCUACAAAACAAAAGCAUCAGUACACUGGGCUGCGCAGCAAUAAAGUAUUCCAUGCCCUCAAACUUCACCUUUUUUUUUCUUGCUCUUCCUUCUCUAUUUUGUGGGACGCAACAUAUGUUGAAAAGAGAUGGCAACACCUAUUUAAGAGCUUGACAAACUCCACCAUGGCAUCCUCUUUAGACAUGUUUCCCAGGGCUGCCCAUUCUCUCCUGUAAGGAAUAACAAGAAAAGUUACCUCCCCUUCUUAGUAGAAUGAGAACUUUUAAAUUUAAACCUAAAUAUGAAUAAUUCUCAAUUGUAAGUAAAAUGAAUGAUUCUAUUGGGAGCAAAAGGCUCAAAACUUCAAGUUUUAACAAGUAUGUAUUGAUUUACUAAAUUAGAUACGCCACAUACAAUCCAAACAACUGCAUUGCUGAUGAUUCCCAUAUAGCAAAAGAGUAUCAAUUUUUCUUUUUUCUUUUUUUUUUUGAGAUAGGAUCUCACUCUGUUGCCCAGACUGGAGUGCACUGGUGCGAUCUUGGCUCAGCAGAACCUCUGCCUCCCAGGCUCAAGCGAUUCUCCUGCUUCAGCCUCCCGAGUAGGUAGGAUUACAGGCAUGUGCCACUACCGCCGGCUAAUUUUUUAAUUUUUAGUAGAGAUGGGGUUUUACUAUGUUGGCCAGGCUGGUCUUGAACUCCUGACCUCAAAUGAUCUACCCACCUCGGCCUCCCAAAGUGCCGGGAUUACAGGCAUGAACUGCCGCACCUGGCCUAUUUUUCUUAUAUAAUAUUUGAGCCUUAAUUAAACAAAAAUACUCAAUGUAUUCUUUUUUUGUCACAAUUUUUUUUAUGCCUCAAUAAGGGAAUCAAUUACUAUAUAUUUUAAAUGGCUACUUUUAAUAUUAUUUGGGAAGAAUCAAAUGAAGCUCUACUUGUCUUAUGUUCAUAAGCAGAUGAAUACAGUUCUUCCACAAUAUUUAACCAUAAACAUCUCUAAGCUAAAAACAGAUAAAUAUCUGAAGACUCCAGAAGCUGCAAGCAAAAAUGUUCAGUUCUUAUCCUAAGCUAAUGAACCAGCUACUUACACCUUAACCAAUACACAUUGUACCCUUUGCCAACAUUAUCCUCAUUAAAUUCACUAUACAGAAAAACACUGUUACCUCCUGUCAUUCCCCAACACAUCAAAGAAUCCAACCUCAGGACAAGUGUCUGGAUUAUAUGGGCCCAUAAGAACUUGCUUAUGCAGUGCCACAAGCUUCAAUUUUUCUUCAUAAGUUGGAUGAAAUGCUUUGCCAUCUUUUUCUAUAAGAAAAAGAAACACAAAGAAAACAAUUAGCACAGGCAAAAUACAUAAUUUUCAGCAUUAUAUACUAAAGCUUUGCUACAAAGCAUGUCACAAACUGCCUGUAAUAGACACAAACACUAAUAGUGAAAUUUUUAUUUCAAUUACUACUUUUAAAAAAUUUUUUUAUUUUUAGACAGAGUCUCACUCUGUUGCCCAGGCUGGAGUGCAAUGGUGUGAUGAAGGCUCACUGAAGCCUUGACCUCCGGGACUCAAAUGACCCUCCCACCUCAGCCCCCCAAGUAGCUGGACUACACGUGCGUGCCACCAAACCUGUCUUUUGGCAGAGACAGGGCUGCCCAGGCUGGUCUCGAACUUUUGGGCUCAAGCAAGCCUCUCGUCUUGGCCUCCUUUUCAAAACUGCUGGGAUUUGAGCCAGCAUGCCCAGCCCAAUUACUACAUUUUAUUAAUAACAGAACCUAAGACGGAAAUCCGGUAUGCUGAUUUUUUUUUUUUUUUUUUUGAGACAAGGUCUCGCUCUAUUGCCCAGGCUGGAAUGCAGUGGCACAAUCACAGCUCACUGCAGCCUCAACCUGCUGAGCUUAAGUGAUCCUCCCACCUCAGUCACCCAACUACCUGGGACUACAGGAGUAUGCGCCAUCAUACGUGGAAAAUGUUUUUAUUUUUGUAGAGACAAGGUCUCACUAUGUUGCCCAGGCUGGUCUCGGACUCCUGAGCUCAAGUGAUUCUCCCGUCUCAGUAUCCCAAAGUGCUGGCAUUACAAGUGUGGACCACCAUGCCUACCCUGAAUUAGGUUGUAAAAAUAAGCCAACUAUCAAUACUUAUGCUAAAGCUACUACAGAAAAACCCAUCUGUCAAGCUGCAGUCAGGCUACAGCCUUGACCUCCCAGGCUUAAGCAAUCCUUCUGCCUCAGCCUCCCGAGAAGCUGGGACUACAGGCAUGUGCCACCACAUCUGGUUAAUUUUUUACUUUUUGCAGAGACGAUGUCUUACAAUGUUGCCCAGACUGGUCUUGAACCCUGGGUUCAAGCAAUCCUCCUGCCUCAGCCUCCCAAAGUGCUGGGAUUACAGGUGUGAGCCACCAUGCCCAGCCCAACAAUCGGUUUUUAAAAUAGCUUUUAAAAAUAAUUUUUAGCCAAAAGAGAAAAGAAAAACUUAAAAUAAUUUUACAUUAGUCCCUUUUAACAUGAUCAUGCAUAGAAGAUUAUGUACACUUUGAAAGGCUGUAUUCAAAAAUGUAUCCAUCCCACUAAGGUAGUAUAAUGUGGUGGAAAAGGCUUUGGAAUUGGAUGGCCUGGGUUUAAAUCUCAGCUGAGACACUUCCUAGCUAUGUGACUAUUUAACCUCUCAGUUUAUUCAUCAAUAAAGAAAGGGUUACCCUUCAGAGGUUGCUACUUCAGAGGUAAUAGGAUUAUUAUUAUUACUAACUUAUUAAUGCUUUUCUUUCCUUCACCUGAUUGGCUCUGGUAGGUUUCCAUAUAGGCAAUUAAGAGUGCGACCAGUUUGACCAAUAAAGACUAACUGCUACCAACAUUUAAAAGCCGUAUGAAAUUGGGUUCUGGUAAAAUGGGAAAUAUUCAGAGAACAGUUCCACUUCUUUGAUAAAUGGUAGCACUAACUACUGGUUGAUUCCAAUGACAACAGACUACCAAAUUUAAAGAAAACGGGGAGGGCACUUGAAAGUAGCAUAUGCUACUUAUAUGUCUCAUUCAUGUAUAUAGUGGUGAAAUAAAAUCACUAAUAAGUGAGAAGAAUAUGGGUUAAAGAACAGCAGGAAACUCAGAGAAGAAAAAAUAUAGAAGCUGCCAAUAAACAUCCAAAAAGAUAUUCAACCCCACUAGUCAAGAAAUAUAAAUUAAAAGCAUUAGAUACCAAGACCCCCACCUCCCAUCAGAUAAACAAAAAAGUUAGAUAACAUCUAAAGUUAUUAAGAUCCUACAAACAGGUACCCAUUCUCAUAUAUGAAUGCUGAAAGUAUAAACUGUUAUAGUUACCUUGAAGGUCAAUUUGGCAAUACACAAUAGUCCUUAUCUUAUCCCCCAGUGGAUGUUUAAGACUGCAGAUAAUAUUGAACCCUACAUAUAUUAUGUUUUUCCUAAAUGUACAUACCUGUAAUUUAUAAAUUAGAUACAAUAAGAGAUUAACAAUAAAAUACUGUAUUAUAUUUGUAUAUUGUAAUUAUAUAACAAUAUACAACAACAAGUUAUGUGAAUGUGGGAUCUCUGUCUCUCUCAAAAUAUCUGAAUGUAUUCUACUCACCUAUUUUCAGACCUUGAUUAACCCCGGGUAUCUGAAAGAAGGGAAAGCAAAACCAUGGACAAGGAGAGACUCCUGUAUUUCAAAACUAUAAAUGUGUAUGCCCUAUGAUCCAGUCAUUCCAGUUCUCAUUACAUAUGCUUGACAAGCACUCUCAAAUAUAUAAAAGGAGGCAGAUACAAGGACAUUCAUUGCAGCACUAUUUUCUUGUUACUGGAAAUAACUUAAAAGGUUAUCAAUAAGGGAAAGUCGAAACAACAUGGUACAGUCAUGCUCUGCAUAAUGGCAUUUCAGUAAAGGACAGAUUGUUUAUAUGAGUGUAGUCCCAUAAGAUUAUUAUAAUGGAGCUGAAAUUUUCCUAUGGCCUAGUGGUGUGGUAGCCACCAUAACAUGAUGCAACAUAUAACUCAAGUAUUUACGAUGAUGCUGGCGUUAAACUAACCUACUGUGCUGCCAGCUGUAUAAAAGUAUAUAUAGCACAUACAACACAUAAUACUUGAUGACAUUAAUCAUCAAAUACUUGAUAAGGAUAUUAAUCACCAAAAGUUUUCUUACACUACGUCACAGGUAAUUAUUAGAGAAACACAGCCCAGAACAACUUCCUUCUCACUUUUUAUUUGAGACGGAGUCUCGCUCUGUUGCCCAGGCUGGAGUGCAGUGAGUGGCACAAUCUCGACUCACUGCAGCUUCCGUCUCUUGGGUUCAAGUGAUUCUCCUGCCUCAGCCUCCCAAGUAGCUAGGACUACAGGUGUGCGCCACCAUACCCGGCUAGUUUUUAUAUUUUUAGCAGAGAUGGGGUUUCACCAUGUUAGCCAGGCUGGUCUCCAACUUCUGACCUCAGGUGAUCCACCCAUCUCAGCCUCCCAAAGUAUUGAGAUUACAGGCGUGAGCCACUGUGCCCACCCCCUUCUCGCUUUUAACAAAUGGCGAUAAUUUGAAAAAUAGCUCCAGCUCCUGAUCUUAGCCUUGUGAUUUAGAGAGUUUUUUUUUAUUUUUAUUUUUUUUCUCGAGACAGAGUCUCGCUCUGUCACCCAGGCUGGAGUGCCGUGGUGCGAUCUCGGCUCACUGCAAGCUCUGCCUCCCGGGUUCACGCCAUUCUCCUGCCUCAGCCUCCCGAGUAGCUGGGACUACAAGCGCCCGCCACCAUGCUCGGCUAAUUUUUUUUGUAUUUUUAGUAGAGACGGGGUUUCACUGUGUUAGCCAGGAUGGUCUCGAUCUCCUGACCUCGUGAUCUGCCCGCCUCGGCCUCCCAAAGUGCUGGGAUUACAGGCAUGAGCCACCGCGCCUGGACUGCCUGGCUAUUUUUUUUUUUUUUUUUUUUUUUUGGGAUUUUUAGUAGAGAUGGGGUUUCACUGCUUUAGCCAGGAUGGUCUCGAUCUCCUGACCUCGUGAUCGGCCUGCCUCGGCCUCCCAAAGUGCUAGCAUUACAGGCGUGAGCCGAGUUUUUGUUUUUUAAAACAAAAAAAAAAAAGGGCAUUAAGCAGCCGGGCACAGUGGCUCACACCUGUAAUCCCAGCACUUUGGGAGGCCAAGGCAGAUGGAUCACCUGAGGUCAAGAGUUCGAGAUCAGUCUGGCCAACAUGGCAAAACCCUCUCUCUACUAAAAAUACAAAAACUAGCUGGGUGUGGUGGUACAGCACAUCUGUAAUCCCAGCUACUCAGGGAGCUGAGGCAGGAGAAUCGCUUGAACGAGAUGGAGGUUGCAGCGAGCCUAAAUCAUACCACUGCACUCCAGCCUAAGAAACAGAGCGAGAUUCCAUCUCAAAAAAAAAAAAAAAAAAAAGACAUUAACCUGUGUCAUUUUAUCUUGAGCCUAUAAAAGAACAUAUGCUGCCAAUGAUUCAAGAAAAAAAGAUGUGGUGGGCCUGAGACUGAGAGUGCAUUUUUCCUUUCCUUUUUUUUUUUGGUUUUUUUUUUUGAGACGGAGUCUCACUCUGUCACCCAGGCUGGAGUGCAGUGGCAUGAUCUCGGUUCACUGCAAGCUCUGCCUCCUGGGUUCACGCCAUUCUCCUGCCUCAGCCUCCCGAGUAGCUGGGACUGCAGGCGCCCGCCACCACGCCCAGCUAAUUUUUUGAAUUUUUUUUUUUUUUUUUUUUUUAGUAGAGACGGGGUUUCACCAUGUUACCCAGGAUGAUCUCGAUCUCCUGACCUCGUGAUCUGCCCACCUGGGCCUCCCAAAGUGCUGAGAUUACAGACGUGAGCCACCGUGCUCGGCCUUUCUUUUUUUAAGAAUAAACUCAAUUAAGUAGUUUUAUCUAAAUAAAUGUCAGUAAAGAUAAAAUCACAUGGAAACUAUUCACCUGAAGACAACUUUUCUGAUUAGUCAUGCAAAACAGCAAUUUCGAACAUACACACACACAAAAUUUUUUUUUGCUGCAGGAAGAUGAUUUGAACUAAUAGAUGGGGCAAGUGGAUAUGAAAAAAAUUUUUUGAAAUCCCUGACUAUUGCUAUAAAGUUAUCUGUAAAAUACUGCUAUUUGGGUUUUCUACUAAUGGAGGGAGGGUUCAUUUCCUACCAGAUGAUACGUUUGCUUCUUUUUGAGACAGGUUCUCACUCUGUCACCCAGGCUGGAGGGCAGUGGCACGAUCACAGCUCACUGCAGCCUUGAACUCCUGGGCUCAAGGGAUUCUCCCACCUCAGCCUCCUGAGUAGCUGGAACUACUGGUGAGUGCCACUAUGCCCAGUUAAUUUUUGUGUUUUUGUAGACAGAGGGUUUUGCCAUGUUACCCAGGUUGGUCUCGAGCUCCUGGCUUCAAGUAAUCAAUCGCCCUAGGCUUCCAAAGUGCUGGGAUUAUAGACACGAGCCACCAUGCCUGGCCAACUUGUCUCUUUAUUUCAAGCAUUUGAUAAUGUGAACUAGGCGCAGGGUCUUUGAGGGAUGGUAAGUAAACAAUUUUUUUUUUUUCUGAGACAGACUCUCGCUCUGUCACCCAGGCUGGAGUGUGGUGGCACAAUCUCGGCUCACUGCAACCUCCAUCUCCCUGGUUCAAGGGAUUCUCCUGCCUCAGCCUCCCAAGUAGCUGGAAUUACAGGCAUGCACCACCACGCCUGGCUACUUUUUGUACUUUUUAGUAGGGACGAGGUUUUACCAUGUUGGCCAGGCUGGUCUCGAACUCCUGAUCUCAGGUGAUCCACCCACCUUGGCCUCCCAAAAUGCUGGGAUUACAGGUGUGAGCCACUGUGCCUGGUCGAGUUUCAGUACUUUUGGAUGUUAUUUUAACGUCUGCCCUUUUUACACCUGACAGAAUUAAAAAUACAGUGCAAACUUAAAAAGUAUAUUUAUUUAUUUAUUAUUUUGAGAUGAAGUCUUGCUCUGUUACCCACGAUGGAGCACAGUGGCGUGAUCUCGGCUCACUGCAACUUCUGCCUCCCGGGCUCAAGCGAUUCUUGUGCCUCAGCCUCCUGAGUAGCUGGGACUACAGGUGUGCGCCACCGUGCCUGGCUAAUUUUUGUAUUUUUCACAGAGAUGGGGUUUCACCAUGUUGGGUUGGCCAGGCUGGUCCUGAACUCCUGACCUCAGGUGAUCUGCCCGCCUCAGCUUCCCAAAAUGCUGGGAUUACAGACGUGAGCCACCGUGCCUGGCCAAUAAAUGUGUUUUUAAAAAGAAGAAUAUGUGGCCACACACGGUGGCUCAUGCCUGUAAUCCCGGCACUUUGGGAGGCUGGGGCGGGUGGAUCACCUGAGGUCAGGAGUUUGAGAUCAGCCUGACUAACAUGAGAAACCCCGUCUCUAAUGAAAAUACAAAAAUUAGCCAGGCAUGCUGGCGCACACCUAUAAUCCCAGCUACUUGGGACGCUAAAGCAGGAGAGUUGCUUGAACCUGGGAGGCGGAGGUUGCAGUGAGCCGAGAUCGUGCCACUGUACUCCAGCCUGGGAAACAAGAGCAAAACUCCAUCUCAAAAAAAAAAAAAAAGAGGAAUACAUUUUCAGUGCUAGUCCUGGUCAGGCAAACAGAUUCGCUGACCUCUGUGAACUUCAGUGCUUAAGCCUACGUUUUUGUUCACAGGCCCUCAUCAAAAAACACGCCCAGCAAAUCUCACAAAAGAAAUUGACUUUAUGGGUCAACUACUGUGAGAAUGAACAAAACAGUAUAUCCAUUCUUGUGAACUGUCCUUGCAUUCCCAUUUACUCUUUUAUGCACGUACUAGUUUUAAGAAUUGCUCUAUCGCCAGCUGCAGUGGCAUGCACCUGUAGUCCCACCUACUUGGGAGGCUGAGACAGGAAGAUCAUUUGAAUCCACAAGUUAGAAUCUAGCCUGGGCAAUCCAUUAAGAUUCUGACUCUGAAGAAAAUAAAAAUAAUUGCUCUAUAAUCCUUUCUUUAAAUCUUACUACUGAAUCUCCAAAUUAAUAAUUUUUCUAGAUGAGAGCCAAAUUUGUCUCAAAAAAAAAAUCAAGAAAACAAACAGCCAGGUGCAGUGGCUCACACCUCUAAUCCCAACACUUUGGGAGGCUGAAGGGGGAGGAUCACUUGAGUCCAGGAGUUUGAGACCAACCUGGGCAACACUGCAAGACCCCAUCUCUACAAAAAACUAAAAAACAGCUGGGUGUGGUGGCAUACAGCUGGGUGCGGCGGCAUGCGCCUGAAGUCCAGGCUUCUCUGGAGGCUCAGGAUUGCUUGAGCCUGAAGGUCGAGGCUCCAAUAGACUGUGAAAGCACCACCGAACUCCAGCCUGGGUGACAGAUGAAGACCCUGUCUAAACAACAAACAAACAAACAAACAAACCCAGCUGGGCCUGGUGGCUCAUGCCUAUAAUCCUGGCACUUUGGAAAGCUAGGGCAGGUGGAUUGCUUGAGCCCAGGAGUUUGAGACCAGCCUGCGAAACAAAGUGAAAUCCUGUCUCCACACACAUACAAAAAACCAAAAUUUAGCUGGGCAUGGUGGCGUGUACCACAGUCCCAGCUACUAGGGUGGCCAAGAUGAGAGGAUCCCUUGAUCUUGGGCAUUGAGACUGUGGUGAGCCAUGAUGGUGCCACUGCACUCCAGCCUGAGUGACAGAGUGAGACCCUGUCUCAAAACGAAACAAAAUUCAAAAUGUUAAUACUAAUAAUUAUUUUUGAAAGACUGUAUUACAAAUUAAUUUUAUUUUAUUUAUUCAUUUUUUAUUUCCCCAAAUUUUCAGUAAGCAUAUGUACUUUGUAAUCAAACACACAUACACAUUAUCUUUUUUAACACACAUUUUUAAAGUCGAAGCAAUGUAUUUUCAGCCUUUGGGAUGAGGUUAAGAGAUUAUUCUCCCAAGGAAUAUACAAAACCCAGGAGGCUGUGCUAACCCCAACCACUUUCGGUAUAGCACAGUUCACACAGUACUGAAGUUCUAAGCUUCAGAAAAAAAACACAGAAAAAUAAAAAUCCUUCACAAUCUAUAUUGCUAUGCAGACUAUUAGUAUUACACAAAAGGUUACAGCUCUCUUACUCUUCAGGUGGCUCUGGUUGACACAUCACAAGAGUUUAGUAUUUUAAAUCAGGUGAGAAUAAUUUUCUUCUUUUUUUUUCUUUUCUUUUUUUUUUUUUUUUUUUUUGAGACAGAGUCUCACUCUGUUGCCCAGGCUGGAGUGCAGUGGGAUGAUCUCGACUCACUGCAACUUCCACCUCCCAGGUUCAAGUGAUUCUCCUGCCUCAGCCUCCCCAGUAGCUGGGAUUACAGAAGUGUGCACUACCACACCUAGCUAAUUUUUUUAUUUUUAGUACAGAAGGGGUUUCACCAUGUUGACCGGGCUAGUCUCAAAACUCCUGACAUCAGGUAAUCCGCCUGCCUCAGAGCCCCGAAGACCUGGGAUUACAGUGUGAGCCACCGCACCCAACCAAGAAUAAUUUUCUUCUAAAUUAUUUCUGGUACCAUAAACGUUAAAUGUAGUUAGCAGGAAAAUAAUAAGUACCACUAACUGCACAGACACAAAAAGCCUUGUAGAAACUCAAAAAUCUUUAACCAGGGCCCUAUUCCUAAAGGAAAGUUCUAUUUCAGUCCUCCCAGAAGGGAACACAAGCAUCAUCCUCGGCUCUUGCACUCAUUAAUUAUUAAUAUUACAAAGUUAUUUAAUUCAAUCAAUUUUGGAAUUCUGCUUUCUAUGGCAAACAAAACCAAACACAAAUUCUGCUUGGAAAAGAAAACAUGCAGAUAAACCUCUAAUUAAACAUGAUAGAUUGAACACAGACAAUUACCUCUGAUCCUUAAUGAAACCACACUAAAAGGAAUAAGGAAGCCAAUUUAGAGAACCCUGGAAAAAGCCAGGUGUGGUGGCUCACGCCUGUAAUCCCAGCACUUUGGGAGGCCAGGGCAAGUGGAUCACCUGAGGUCAGGAGUUCGAGACCAGCCUGACCAACAUGGUGAAACCCAGUCUCCACUAAAAAUGCAAAAAUUAGCUGGGAGUGGUGGUGCACGCCCUGUAAUCCUAGCUACUUGGGAGGCUGAGGCAGGAGAAUCGCCUGAACCCGGGAGGCAGACGUUGCAGUGAGCCAAGAUCGUGCCACUGUACUCCAGCCUGGGUGACAGAGCCAGACUCCGUCUCAAAAACAAACAAACAAAAAAAGAAUACUGAAUGCUAGAAAACAAUGAAUGGGAAGGUGGGCACAGUGGCUCAGGCCUGUAAUCCCAGCACUUUGGGAGGCCAAGGCAGGCAGAUCACCUGAGGUCAGGACCAGCCUGACCAACAUGGUGAAACCCCAUCUCUACUAAAAAUAAAAAAAAAAUAGCCCGGCAUGGUGGCAUGCACCUGUAAUCCCAGCUACUCACGAGGCUGAGACAGGAGAAUCGCUUGAACCUGGGAGGCGGAGGUUACAGUGAGCCGAAAUUGCCACUGUGUUCCAGCCUGACAAAAGAGUGAGACUCCAUCUCAAAAAAAAAAAAAAAAAAAAGAAAGAAAAAGAAAAAAGAAAGCAAUGAAUGGAAUAAUGCCUUCAAAAUUCCGGAAGGAAAUUAUUUCCAAUCUAGACUUUUAUGCCCAAUCAAAUAAAUCAAAAGUGACAGUAAAACACAUUUUUGGAAAGGCAUGGUCUCAUGCACUCUUUUCACAAGAAGAUAUUAAGGGGUGUGCAUUUCCAAAGUAAUGGAAUAAAUAAAAACAACAACAAAGGAAAAUAAGUGAUUCAGGGAAAACAAAAUCUAACCACAAUAGGAAAAGACGAAGGUAAUUUCCAGGAUGACAGUUGGGCAGCCGACUUAACUAAGUCUUACCACAAACACUAAGACUGAUUCAAGAAUUUAAGGACAUUUAAGAUAGAUGUCUUUAUAAAAAGGUUUGCACAAGAACAAAAAUGUAAUCAAAGUGUAUCAUCUGUUUCAGCAAUGAAUAACAUAAAAACAAACAGCAGACAACAAUUUAACCACAAAACAAAAUUAAGAGUCUGAGAAGAGGAAAGGAGAAAGAGAGAUACAGACAUACAUUAGAAUUUUUUUUUUUUAAUUAAAGCAGCAGUAGGAAAAUGGAAGCAAAUACCAGAAGAAACAGUUAAAAUAAUGGAAAGCAGCUGCCUCUGGGGAGAAGGCCUAGGAAAUGGGAAAAACACCAGAAAACAGGAUGACUAUUUUUCAUUAUAAAUGUUGUAGUCCAAUUUCACCUUUUCAAUUGCUCUGGUUUCCAUUUUUAAUAAAAAGGUAAAACGAAUAAACUCAUGCACAAUUUCAGUAAUCAGUUCAUAAGCUACUAUGACACAAGUGGUGGGCAGAAUAAUGGCUCCUCAAAGAUGUUUAACUUCUGGAACCUGUGAAUAUGUUAGGUUACUUGCAAAGGCAGAAUUAAGGUUGCAGUUGGCCUUUUCCUGAACUACUCAUGUGGGCCCAAUGUAAUCAUAAGGGUCCUUAUAAAUGGAAGGGAAGAAAGAAGAGUCAGAGAUCUGAAGAGGCUAUGGUGGCUCUGAAGAUGGAGGAAGGGGCAUAAACAAAAGCUUGCGGCUGGGCGUGGUGGCUCACGCCUGUAAUCCCAGCACUUUGGGAAGCCGAGGCGGGUGGAUCAUGAGGUCAGGAGUUCAAGACCAGCCUGGCCAACAUGGUGAAGCCCUGUCUCUACUAAAAAUACACAAAUUAGCUGGGCAUGGUGCACGUGCCUGUAUUCCCAGCUAUUCGGGGGGCUGAGGCUGGAGAACUGCUUGAACCGGGACUGGGAGGCAGAGGUUGCAGUGACUCAAGAUCGCACCACUGCACUCCAGCCUGGGCUACAGAGCGAGACUCCGUCUCAAAAAAAAAAAAAAAAAAAAGCUUUCAGGUGCUCUCCAGAAGAAACAAAGCCCUGCUGACACCUUGAUUUUACCCCAACAGGACCUAUCUCUAACCUACAGAACGGUAACAGUGUGUGUGUGGUUUUUGUUUGCUUUGCUUGUGGUCAUAUUUAUUACUACAAUUUUUUACACCUUCUUUAACAAUAGUUGUGAUCCUGGUGGUCUUUGGCAAGAGGGCACUCAGAAAAGCACGAUUUAACUUUUGGUAUUAUGAGUGAAUGAGAAAUUAUUAUCAUAAAAACUGUGACUAUAUGAAUAUGAAAAGUAAAAUAUACAUGAAGAAAAAAAUGCCUCAACUUUUGUGAAUACUGACUCACAAUGUCAAAUAAUCAGCAAAAUUAUAAGGCUAAUUAUAAAGUUUAUCUGAUCCAUGACUGUCAAUGAGAUAUUUUAAUAUUUCUUCUCAGUAAAUUUAAAAAAACAGUAUUUGUUAGUAGAUAAAUUGUUAGAAAUUGUUUAUUAACUGCUUUCGAAGAAACAUGUCCAGCAACUUUGAGGAAAAAAUGUGCACAUUAUUUUUAAUCACAUACAAUCAAACAUAAUUGGUAAUGUACCGAAGAUUACAUUCAGCCGUGAGUAACAGGAAACACCCACAAUAUUCCUGAUAUGAGGAAAGUGCUUAUUCUCACAUCAAAGUACUGGGUGAAACCAGUCACUGCACAAUGCGGCAGAGGAACAAAUUCCCAUGUAGCUGUUUUUUUUUUUUUUUUUUUUAGACGGAGUCUUGCUUUUGUCGCUUGAACCGGGACGGGUUCAAGUGGUCCCAGUUGAUGCUGGAGUGCAGUGGUGUGAUCUCAGCUCACUGCAAGCUCCACCUCCCAGGUUUACGCCAUUCUCCUGCCUCAGCCUCCCAAGUAGCUGGGACUACAGGUGGCCACCACCACUCUUGGCUUUUUUUUUUUUUUUAAGUAGAGACGGGUUUCACCGCAUUAGCCAGGAUGGUCUCCAUCUCCUGAACUCGUAGAUCCGCCUGCCUCAGCCUCCCAGAGUGCUGGGAUUACAGGUAUGAGCCACCGUGCCCAGCCCCACGUAGCUGUUUUUGACAGUACCAUUGUAGCUGUCAUCUUGAAUCAGGAACAGUCAAUACCAGUAUGAACAGAGGAGUUUACUAUACAAAUCAGAUCUUCUAUCAAUUUAAUCCAUAGACUAGGGGAGUCAGAUCAUCAGAGGAUAUUCCCAACCAUGAGAGUCUGAACAGGUUGUCCGGUACACGUUAGGGCUUGCAGGAAAAUCUUAAGUGCAGACGGAUUUUUAGUAUGAGUUGUUUUGAGCCACUAUUUUUUUUUUUUUUUAGACAGGGUCUUGCUCUGUAGCCCAGGCUGGAGUGCAGUGGCACGAUCUCACUCACUGCAACCUCUGCCUCCCAGGUUCAUGUGAUUCUCCCACCUCAGCCUCCUGAGUAGCUGGGGCUACAGGUACAAGCCACCAAGCCUGGCUAAUUUUUGUGGGGUUUUUUUUGCAGAGAUGGAGUUUUCCCAUAUUGCGCAGGCUGGUCUGGAACUCCUGAGCUCAGUGAUCCACCUGCCUCAACCUCCCAAAGUGCUGGGAUUACAGACGUGAGCCACUACACCCAGCCCAAGCCAAUAAAUUUGUGGUAAUUUGUUACAAGAGCAAUAGGAAACUAACAUGAUAUACAAAACACAUUUUUCAGGCAAUUAAAAACAGAUAAUGGGAUGUACAUUAUGUUCUUACUAAACUCACAAGUAUUUAACUUUACAGUUCAAAUAGGACAGCAUAAUUUGAUACCAAGUCCAAAGCUCUGAAAGAUUACAAUUAAGUCCCUCCCACCUGAAAUUAAGUAUACAAAAGACUAUUAGGGGCUGGGCGCAGUGGCUCACACCUGUAAUCCCAGCACUUUGGGAGGCCAAGGUGGGCGGAUCAUCAGGUCAGGAGUUCGAGACCAUCCUGGCUAACAUGGUAAAACCCCGUCUCUACUAAAAGUACAAAAAAAAAAAUUAGCCGGGCAUGGUGGCGGGCGCCUGUAGUCCCAGCUACUCGGGAGGCUGAGGCAGGAGAAUGGCGUGAACCCGGGAGGCGGAGCUUGCAGUGAGCCGAGAUUGCGCCACUGCACUCCAUCCUGGGCGACAGAGCAAGACUCCGUCUCAAAAAAAAAAAAAAAAAAAGACUAUUAGGCUCACACCUCAAUUGCUAUUUUAUAGGAGAAAUCAUAUUUUUUCUCUUCUCUCUGGAGGCAAAGGAAAGUACCAAAUUAUUUCAAUGUCCCUUCUAGCCUUCAUUUAAUGAAAGAAGGCCAUAAAAUCUACGGCGUGGAAAGGAUGUUAAAGAUAGGUGAUUGAAUUGCAAACUAAAUCUCAAAUCCUCUCUACAAUAUCCACCCAGCAAUUGCUAACCUAUGCUUGAAUACUUCCUGGUGAUAAGAACUCACUGUCCCAAAGCAGUCUAAUCCAUCUUUGAAUAGCUGUGAUUCUUAGCUCUUUAUUCUGAGGUGGUAUCUCUCAACUCCAUCCACAGGGUUUAUUUCCUGUCCUCAGCAUUAACUAAAACACAUCUAACUAAUUAGACCUCAAGAAAGUCACAAAAUAUGUAUUGUGUUUGCCCUGAGUUCUCUAUUCUCUUGGCUACACAUUCCCAGCUUAGUCAAUCAUACUUCAAAUUUAAAUUUAAUUCCCAGCUCUGCUAUUAAGUAUAUAACAUGGACAAGUUAUUUAAUCUUUUGAAAUCUGUUUUGUUAUCAAUAAAAUAAAUACUGCUCCUUAGGGUUCAUAUGAGUGUUAGAAAUGUGUCCCAAAAUCUUUGUAUAGUGCCUGCACAGAGCAGACACUGACUAAACAGCAGCCAUUAUGAUAAUAAUGGCAGGGACUUGAAUUCCCACUAGGUACAAGUUGCUCUCUUCUGAAUGAGCUCCAUUUUGUUUUUAACCCUAAAGGAUGAUGCCUCAAACAAGCAGUAUCCACGGCUUGUUUGAGGUGUACUCCUUGGUGCAGAGGAGAGCAGGACUAUCUCUCUCUUUCCCUCAUCCUAGUUACCAUAUUUCCACCAAAGCAGCCUAAGAUCAAAUCUGUUUUAUUUCAUGGCCAUAUCACACUGUUGCCUCACAGAGAAUACACUUUGAUUAAAAUCCAUCUUUUAGAAAUAUUAAAACUGGGCCAGGCGUGGUGGUUCACGCCUGUAAUCCCAGUACUUUGAGAGGCCGGGUGGGCAGAUCACCUGAUGUUGGGAGUUUGGGACCAGCCUGACCCAACAUGGAGAAACCCCAUCUCUACUAAAAAUACAAAAAUUAGCCGGGUGUGGUGGUGCACACCUGUAAUCCCAGCUACUUGGGAGGCUGAGGCAGGAGAAUCGCUUGAACCCAGAAGGCAGAGGUUGCAGUGAGCUGAGAUCGCACCACUGCACUCUAGCCUGGGCACCAAGAGUGAAACUCCGUCUCCAAAAAAAACCAAAUAUUAAAACUGAAAAACCAACUAGGUGCAGCAGCUCACGCCUGUAAUCCCAGCACUUUGGGAGGCCGAGGUGGAUGGAUCACAAGGUCAGGAGUUCAAGACCAGCCUAGCCAACAUAGUGAAACCCUGUCUCUACUAAAAAUACAAAGAUUAGCUGGGUGGGGUGGCACGUGCCUGUAGUCCCAGCUACUCGGGAGGCUGAGGCAAGAGAAUAGUCUGAACCUAGGAGGCGGAGGUUGCAGUAAGCCAAGACUGGGCCAUUCCACUCCAGCCUGGGCAACAGAGCAAGACUCUGUCUCCCAAAAAAAAAAAAAAAAAAGGAUAAUACAAUGCAGUAUUCCUAAAUCAAUGAGUAGGAAACACUCUGGGAAUUGCCUAGCAUAUACUAACUGCUUAGUAAAAGUUUUAAGACUUCCCCUCCAUUAACUCAAAACAUCCAUAAUCAAUUCUCAGAAGUACCUCCUUUUCAACAACAUAAGCAGCCACAAAAAUACCAAUAGCCAGGCAUUCUGCUAAGAGUUUAUAUAUAUAAUUUCUUAUAAUUCCUAAAACAACCCUUUGAGUACAGGAAAGCACAAAAAGUUAACAAAAUUAAGUGGCAGAGCAAGGAAAACACACCCUAAAGAGUGUUGACUCCAGAGCUUACCUUUCUAAAUACUGAUUCACAGUAGCUCUUGUAUUAGUUAACUGAUAAAACAUCUGCUCCUGGGCAUUGGCUACACUGUCCACUUUCUGAAAACUCAUCAAGCUACACACUUAGUAUUUGUGUACUUUAGUGCACUGCAUGUGUGAUAAAGGGAAGCCUCGGGAAAAUGUUAAAAUCACUUACAUUAAAAACAUAUACACACUGGGCACAGUGGCUCACGCCUGUAAUUCUAGCACUUUGGGAGGCCAAGGCAGGUGGAUUACCUGAGGUCAGGAGCUCGAGACCAGCCUGACUAACAUGGUGAAACCCUGUCUGUACUAAAAAUACAAAAAUUAGCUGGGCGUAGUGGCAUGUGCCUGUAAUCCCAGCUACUCGGGAGGCUGAGGCAGGAGAAUUGCUUGAACCCAGGAGGCAGAGGCUGCAGUGAGCUGAGAUCGCGCCAUUGCACUCCAGCCUCGGUGACAGAAUGAGACUCCAUCUCAAAAAAAAAAAAAAAAACAAUGACAACAACAACACAUACACAUUCCUGAAUCCAGUCAAAGGAAAGUUUUGGUUCAGCUCAAAUUUAACAUGAACUUGGUGGCUAUAAUUGUUUUUCUGUCUUACAUCUGUCUCUCUUAGGUCUAUAUAUCCUCCUACAGUAUUACAUACUUAUGUCUAAAGGUAAAGAUAAUAAAAGGGAAAAAGAACUCUAAUAGAUGUUCCAUAGUAACAAACUUGAAAUUAUCUGAGGAUAGACCACUGAAGUCCAGGAGGCACACUAAUUAUAUAUGUUUCCAAUGAAUAAAUUACAGCUGUACAGUAUUUUAAAACAUUAAGGAAGCCAUUUAUAAAUGCUCUUGUAGUUGCCUAUGUUUAAAGAAGACAAGAGGAAAUGGAACCAUUUCAGUUGUCCAUUUGUUUGCUAUCAUUAAUAUAAUUCUCUCCCAACAUAUAAUACUCUACUAUCAGUAACACAAUUGGGUAUAAUCAAUAGCAAUGCUAGUAGAACUAUUCCAUAAAGAAAAUGAGUCCAAGACUUACCUUCCAAAUAACUGAGGGGCCUGAGGCAGGAUCCUUAACUCAGAAAUGGGAUUAAUACCCUUACAGAAGGCCUCUUGGAGGAUUAAACAAAAUAAUGUACAUACAGUUUUUGGCAUAGUACCUGAGAUUUAGUAAACAUCUACUCAAUAACUAUUGACAAUUAUUACUCUGAAAUCUUAAAUUAAUGUAAACAAUCUACCAGCUUAAUGUAAUACAGUAAUAAAGUAUUAGAGAAGGAAAAGUCCACCCCAAAGAACUCUAAAAACCAAAAUACAAUUCCCCAGGUCAACUCCAUCCAAGAAGUAUAAAGGUCAUAAUAAAAUGAACCCACUGGAUUCCUGUGGGUCCUUAACCCAUGGAGAUAAGAAAACCUAGCUUAACAUUGUUAAAAUAGAACUGGGCAACUCUGGCCGGGCGUGGUAGCUCAUGCCUGUAAUCCCAGCACUUUGAGAGGCCAAGGCGGGUGAAUCGCUUGAGCUCAGGAGCUAAAGACCAGCUGGGCAACAAAGCAAGACCUCUGUCUCUACAAAAAAUACAAAAAUUAGCCGGGCAUGGUGGCUCGUGCCUGUGGUCCCAGUCACACAGGAGGAUGAGGUGGGAGGAUGGCUUGAGCCUGGGAGGCAUAGGGGGCAGUGAGCCAAGAUCGCACUACUGCCCUCUAGCCUGCAUAACAAAACCAGACUGUCUAAAAAAAAAAAAAGAAUUGAGCAACUUUGCUCCUCCCUUUAAAAACCUCCAGUGGUUCCUCAUCUUCUAAUUUACUGACAAAAAGGCCGAACUAUUAAUACUUACAUGGCCAGGCGCGGUGGUUCACGCCUGUAAUCCCAGCGCUUUGGAAGGCCGAGGCGGGGAGAUCAUUUGGGGUCAGUCCAAGACCAGACUGGCCAACAUGGUGAAACCCCAUCUCUAUUAAUAAUACAAAAAUUAGCUGGGUGUGGUGGCACAAGCCUGUAAGCUCAGCUACUCACGAGGCUGAGGCAGGAGAAUCACAUGAACCCAGGAGGCAGAGGUUGCAGGGAGUGGAGAUCAUGCCACUGCAUUCCAGCCUGGGUGACAUAGCAAGACUCCGUCUCAGAAAAAAAAAAUGACAAUGGCAUGCAAGUCCUUCCAAGAAUUGAACUCAGUUACCUUCCCAGCUCUCUCCAUCAAACUGCUUUCUAUUUUCCAUUUUGCAAACAGACAUGCUUUGACUUCUCAUGGCUUUCAUGGCUCUUGGCCUUCCCCCCUCUGGAAUGGCAUCUGCUCCCUCAGUCCUCCACACUGUACUGCAGUUGUCACUGGGUCCUUAACUCCUCUUUUGGACUCUAAGCAAAAGAUAACGUACUAUUCAUUUAUAGUUGUAACCUAAUAUAAAACUAUCCAUACUGAAAAGUCAAUAAUGUCUGAAAUUUAGAUGGUAAAAUGCUAACUUACAUUUACCCACAUCUUCAUCUAUUUUACUUUUACUGUCAUAAAAAAUUAAGAAUAGUUGACGUAAUUGAUUCAGUCACUGGCCUAUUACCACCCUGACAAGGAUGGAAUAAGAAAUAGGGCUUGUCAUUUCCAACCCAAGCUAUUUGCAAUGGAAAAAUAUAUCCAUGCUUUCAAGAUUCGUAUUUAUUCCACAGUGGAAGAGAAAAUGUAAUGUUCUUUCCUUUAUUUAUUUAUUUUUUUGAGAUGGAGUCUUGCUCUGUUGCCCAGGCUGGAGGGCAGGGACGAAAUCUUGGCUCACUGCAAGCUCCGCCUUGAGGGUUCAAGUGAUUCUCCUGCCUCAGCCUCCCAAGUAGCUGGGACUAUAGGCGCCUGCCACCACGCCCAGCUAAUUUUUUUAUUUUUUUAUUUUUAGUACAGAUGAGGUUUCACCGUGUUAGCCAGGGUGGUCUCGAUCUCCUGACCUUGUGAUCCACCCGCCUCGGCCUCCCAAAGUGCUGGGAUUACAGGCAAAAGCUACCACACCCGGCCGAAAAUGUAAUGUUAUUUCUAAUUCUCGUGAGAUACUGGUAUAAAACCAUAGAAUAGCGAUUAAAAGUCCCAGCAAGACUGACAAAACACCAUGUGUUCCACCAGAAAAAUCCACACAUUAAAACAAAGGUGCCGGGCACGGUGGCUCACGCCUAUAAUCCCAACACUUUGGGAGGCCAAGGUGGGCAGAUCACCUGAGGUCGGCAGUUCGAGACCAGCAUGGAGAAACCCCGUCUCUACUAGAAAUACAAAAGUACCUGGGCGUGGUGGCACAUGCCUGUAAUCUCAGCUACUCGGGAGGCAGAGGCAGGAGAAUCACUUGAACCCUCGAGGCAGAGGUUGCAGUGAGCUGAGAUCGCGCCAUUGCACUCUAGCCUGAGCAACAAGAAUCAAACUCUGCCUAAAAAAAAAAAAAAAAAAAAAAACCAGGCUGGGCACAGUGGCUCACACCUGUAAUCCCAGCACUUUGGGAGGCUGACGCAGGAGGAUCACGAGGUCAGGAAAUCGAGACCAUCCUGGCUAACACGGUGAAACCUCGUCUCUACGAAAAAUACAAAAAAUUAGCCGGGCGUGGUGGUGGGCACCUGUAGUCCCAGCUACUCGGGAGGCUGAGGCAGGAGAAUGGAGUGAAUCCGGGAGGUGGAGCUUGCAGUGAGCCCCGAGAUGGCACCACUGCACUCCAGCCUGGGCGACAGAGUGAGACUCUAUCUCAAAAACAAAAAACAAAACAAAGGCAGCAUUACUUGGCUCACUCCACAUUCCAUAAUUCUUCUGACUGCUUUUACAUCCUUCCCUUUUGUCAGUUAGUGUCUCAUAUACUAACAGUCUCCAAUGACACAUGCAGAAAGGUAGCUUUUAAUUGCUACACAGCUAUUUCUCCUUUUUAGUACCUGGAUAUUGCUUUGAGAACUUCAUUUAGGAAGUGAGUGAACCACACCUAUCAGUGUAGCUUUAUUCUCUAAGGUGACUAACACCUAGGCCCCAAGUUAUAAGUUUCCCCAGGAUUCCUACCACUCAAGACACAUGUUAAAAUAAUCUGUUAGGUUAAGACCACUGAAUCUUAAAUCUGAGACAUCAUAUUUUAUAGAAUCCAGCUCCCUUUAUACAUAUGAAACUGAUUCUGGAAAAGUUAAUUGUCUAGUUUACAAGGUAACUAGAAUCCAGAGCUUCCUGACUCUCCAAACAAUGUUAAGUAUACUACACGUUACAGUGUUUUAAUCUUUUUCUUUGUUUUGAGACAGAAUUUCACUUUGUCGCCCAGGAUGGAGUGCAGUGGCAUGAUCUCGGCUCACUGCAACCUCUGCCUCCCAUAUUGAAGCGAUUCUUUUUUUUUUUUUAGACGGAGUUUUGCUCGUCGCCCAGGCUGGAGUACAAUGGUGCCAUCUUGGCUCACUGCAACCUCCGCCUCCCGGGUUCAAGUGAUUCUCCUGCCUCAGCCUCCCUCAGUCCUGCAACAGAGCAGGACUCCAGCUCAAAAAAAAAAAAAAAAAGGAAUUAGUUCAUUUCUACUCUUACUCUCUGCUACAAUAUACUUUACUGAAAAAUAAGUUCCAAGAAUAAAAAUUUAAGAUGGAAUGUAGCUAUAUGAAUUGUACAGAAACCACCUGAUUUUUAUCAAGUGGUAAUAUAUCAUCACUACAGCAAACUCUAAAUUCAAGCCGGUGAUCUAAAAGUCAAAUGAUCCAAAACCCAUUAGCCAUUACCAAUUCCCCAAGCUAGUUAGUACACAGAGGGCUCAACUCAUUGUGCAAUGACCACGAAUAUGUCAUUGAAUGUGAAAUGAUCAAAUGUUCUGGAAAAUUUAUAAAACUUUCACUAGUUUGCACAAUUAAAGUUAUUUUGAGAGAAAACAACUUCCGUGUGUAUCAUUACAUUGAACUACUCAACUUUGGCUAGUAAAAUAUGUACUCCAAAAGGUACUCCCUCUGGGGAAAGUGUCAUAAAUAUGCUGCUCUGGAAUGUACGUGGAACCUAGCAACCACUUUUAAAGUUGCAUUUGCUGAUGUCCCUCCCUGUCCAUUCGCCCUACAAGACUAAGUAUCUUUAAGAAUCAAACUAACGGGCUUUCAUCAGUUUUUCCCACUGACAAAAAUCAUGUGAUUGGUCUCUCCACCAUUCGACUAAGUGAAUCACCCAAUUAAAAAAAAAAAAAACCGCACACUACAAUCUUGCUCUAAGACAAGAGACAUUUAACAAUUAAUUAUGCGAAAAGCACAGAAGGUACUGUUAGGCCUUACUCUGAGAAUUCACUCUUGCACAUUGCUUACAAUGUAAAAUUUUAACCACCUAGAAGUUACUAGAACAUAGUGGACAUCUCUCCUCAAGAGUUUGACAAGCCGGAGAGGAUGAUGAGCUUAACACUUUACUUCCUCCUCUCUGCCACAUCAAUCUGCCGGGGGAUCAAGUCCUGUUCCAGUUUAUGGUUCCCAAGAAUGGCUGGAAAAGCUAUGUAUGGAACCUCUUGACAGAUUUCUUCCACUAAGGGUAAAAAUCGGCGGGUUCUGAUGUGACAAGCCAUGGGAAAUAGGAAAAGAAAAGCGUCAGUUAAAAAAAUAAUAAUAAUAAAAGGCAAUCCCAGAAUGGGAUCCUUUGGAAGAAAGUGGGCUCAUUCUUCCACCAGGGCUCCUGGAAAUCCCAGAAGCUAAAUCAGGUAAAAUGUCCCGGUAACCUCUGGGAGGCGGGACAUGACUGCUAAACCAAGGUUGCAGGCCCGUCAGGGGUGUGACCUAGUGGCCAAGCGGGUAGUGACAAACUUCGGGUACCCCCAAGGAGGGAACCCCGCUUGAGUCACCACAGCCCAGUAUGAGUGGGUGAGGGCAAGUCUGGUCCAGUCACCCUGGGGACCACAGCCCACGCCGGGCUCCCGGGGCCGGGCAGAAGCGGCGGGGGUGGGGCUGGCCCGGCUCACCUUUGAAGAAGCGCAGUGC
rnacentral:lncRNA from 1 species